GAGUUUGAUCAUGGCUCAGAUUGAACGCUGGCGGCAGGCCUAACACAUGCAAGUCGAGCGGUAGAGAGAAGCUUGCUUCUCUUGAGAGCGGCGGACGGGUGAGUAAUGCCUAGGAAUCUGCCUGGUAGUGGGGGAUAACGCUCGGAAACGGACGCUAAUACCGCAUACGUCCUACGGGAGAAAGCAGGGGACCUUCGGGCCUUGCGCUAUCAGAUGAGCCUAGGUCGGAUUAGCUAGUUGGUGAGGUAAUGGCUCACCAAGGCGACGAUCCGUAACUGGUCUGAGAGGAUGAUCAGUCACACUGGAACUGAGACACGGUCCAGACUCCUACGGGAGGCAGCAGUGGGGAAUAUUGGACAAUGGGCGAAAGCCUGAUCCAGCCAUGCCGCGUGUGUGAAGAAGGUCUUCGGAUUGUAAAGCACUUUAAGUUGGGAGGAAGGGCAGUAAAUUAAUACUUUG
rnacentral:rRNA from 1 species